CUACUGAUGAAGAGUCCCAACCUAGGACGAAGCGGUUGUCCAGUAC
rnacentral:hammerhead_ribozyme from 1 species